rnacentral:rRNA from 1 species
AAAGCGAGCGGCGGAUGGGUGAGUAACACGUGGGGAACCUGCCCCUAAGUCUGGGAUACCAUUUGGAAACAGGUGCUAAUACCGGAUAAUAAAGCAGAUCGCAUGAUCAGCUUUUGAAAGGCGGCGUAAGCUGUCGCUAAGGGAUGGCCCCGCGGUGCAUUAGCUAGUUGGUAAGGUAACGGCUUACCAAGGCGACGAUGCAUAGCCGAGUUGAGAGACUGAUCGGCCACAUUGGGACUGAGACACGGCCCAAACUCCUACGGGAGGCAGCAGUAGGGAAUCUUCCACAAUGGACGCAAGUCUGAUGGAGCAACGCCGCGUGAGUGAAGAAGGUUUUCGGAUCGUAAAGCUCUGUUGUUGGUGAAGAAGGAUAGAGGUAGUAACUGGCCUUUAUUUGACGGUAAUCAACCAGAAAGUCACGGCUAACUACGUGCCAGCAGCCGCGGUAAUACGUAGGUGGCAAGCGUUGUCCGGAUUUAUUGGGCGUAAAGCGAGCGCAGGCGGAAAAAUAAGUCUAAUGUGAAAGCCCUCGGCUUAACCGAGGAACUGCAUCGGAAACUGUUUUUCUUGAGUGCAGAAGAGGAGAGUGGAACUCCAUGUGUAGCGGUGGAAUGCGUAGAUAUAUGGAAGAACACCAGUGGCGAACGCGGCUCUCUGGUCUGCAACUGACGCUGAGGCUCGAAAGCAUGGGUAGCGAAACAGGAUUAGAUACCCUGGUAGUCCAUGCCGUAAAC